CUACGGGACGCAGCAGUGAGGAAUAUUGCACAAUGGGGGGAACCCUGAUGCAGCAACGCCGCGUGGAGGAUGACGCAUUUCGGUGUGUAAACUCCUUUUAUAUGUCAAGAAAAUGACGGUAGCAUAUGAAUAAGCACCGGCUAACUCCGUGCCAGCAGCCGCGGUAAUACGGAGGGUGCAAGCGUUACUCGGAAUCACUGGGCGUAAAGGACGCGUAGGCGGGUUGGAAAGUCAGGUGUGAAAUCCUACAGCUUAACUGUAGAACUGCACUUGAAACUUCUAUUCUAGAGGAUGGGAGGGGGAGAUGGAAUUAGUGGUGUAGGGGUAAAAUCCGUAGAUAUCACUAGGAAUACCUAAAGCGAAGGCGAUCUCCUGGAACAUUACUGACGCUAAGGCGUGAAAGCGUGGGGAGCAAACAGGAUUAGGUACCCCCGUAGUC
rnacentral:rRNA from 1 species